rnacentral:rRNA from 1 species
UACGUAGGUGACAAGCGUUGUCCGGAUUUACUGGGCGUAAAGAGCGCGCAGGCGGUCGAUCAAGUCGAGUGUGAAAGCCCCCGGCUCAACUGGGGAGGGUCAUUCGAUACUGAUCGACUCGAAGGCAGGAGAGGGUAGUGGAAUUCCCGGUGUAGUGGUGAAAUGCGUAGAUAUCGGGAGGAACACCGGUGGCGAAGGCGGGUCUCUGGGCAGUAACUGACGCUGAGGAGCGAAAGCGUGGGGAGCGAACAGG